CGAUCCUUAUCUCUCCUGAUGCCGGGGUUAUUCCUCGGCCUGCCCUUAAGACAGGGUGCACGGAGCUGGAUCUAAUUACACGUGAGGAAGCACAGGCCCGUUCCUGAAGCUGAAGGGCCAUCAGUAAACCGGCGCAUUAAUAACCCUUUGGAGUUCUGUGCAUUGUAACGGGCCGACUGCAAUGCACUGUAAUCCUCACGUGAAGGGGAAUCCAGAGCGACUGUACAAAAGACGGAAACAAAUGAUCAUGUGAGCACGGCACGGAAUGCCUGCUAUUCUCGAUUUCGAUUGUCGCCUGCUCCCGAGGCUUUAAAAGAGAGAAAAACAAGAUGCUGAGGUCGAAAGGGCGACUUGUGUAAGCGCGUGUGCGCUGAGUGACAGACGGUUUAGCGCUGGUUUGGGACCUGCGCUCGAAAGCGCGGAGAAUAAAUGGCUCAAAUGACACGGCACAAGCCUGCACAUUGUCAACACAGGUAAUAAGUCACCAUUAGCCUCUCAUUCCCACACUCAGCAUAUCAGCCCCGCCUGAUCCCAGCCCAGCGCACUGGCCGCCAUUUGCAUUCCACCUACAUAUAUUACCCAGAGAAGCAUAUAUUAUCUCAGUGGACAUGGCCCAGGUGAUCUGCUACGAGCACUUCAUCAAGAGCGCUGAACUUCGGUAAAAUCUGUUUGAGACAGUUUUUUGUGCUUUAAAAUGACGCAAAGCAGUUUAAUCAAGUCCUUGUCGGAGCUGGAGUCAUGAACAGAGCCGCAAAGACUCAAGAACAAGGAUGUACAUUUUAAAAGUGAACUGUGUGUUUUUAGUGCUACCAAACAGAAUUGAAAAAUAUAAUGAAUGAAAUAUUGCACCCUCUGCCAUUGUUUGGAUCAAGGGGUCAAGGUUUGGCUGGUUAGUAUGACCCUGUUAACCCCUGCUGGUACAUUUUGUAACUACACCAUUGGGCUGGGGAAAAAAAAAAAAUCUUCAUUAGGAAUAUAAUUCUAAGUGAUUUCAUGAUUUAUGUUAGGGUGGCUUCACCAAUU